AUACGUAGGGAGCGAGCGUUGUCCGGAAUUACUGGGUGUAAAGGGAGCGUAGGCGGGAGUGCAAGUCAGAUGUGAAAUGCAUGGGCUUAACCCAUGAGCUGCAUUUGAAACUGCAUUUCUUGAGUGAAGUAGAGGUAAGCGGAAUUCCUGGUGUAGCGGUGAAAUGCGUAGAUAUCAGGAGGAACACCGGUGGCGAAGGCGGCUUACUGGGCUUUUACUGACGCUGAGGCUCGAAAGCGUGGGGAGCAAACAGGAUUAGAUACCCUGGUAGUCCACGCUGUAAACGAUGAUUACUAGGUGUGGGGGGACUGACCCCUUCUGUGCCGCAGUUAACACAAUAAGUAAUCCACCUGGGGAGUACGGCCGCAAGGUUGAAACUCAAAUGAAUUGACGGGG
rnacentral:rRNA from 1 species